AGUGAACGCUGGCGGUAGGCCUAACACAUGCAAGUCGAACGGCAGCACAGUAAGAGCUUGCUCUUACGGGUGGCGAGUGGUGGACGGGUGAGGAAUACACCGGAAUCUACUUUUUCGUGGGGGAUAACGUAGGGAAACUUACGCUAAUACCGCAUACGACCUACGGGUGAAAGCAGGGGAUCUUCGGAACUUGCGCGAUUGAAUGAGCCGAUGUCGGAUUAGCUAGUUGGCGGGGUAAAGGCCCACCAAGGCGACGAUCCGUAGCUGGUCUGAGAGGAUGAUCAGCCACACUAGAACUGAGACACGGUCCAGACUCCUACGGGAGGCAGCAGUGGGGAAUAUUGGACAAUGGGCGCAAGCCUGAUCCAGCCAUACCGCGUGGGUGAAGAAGGCCUUCGGGUUGUAAAGCCCUUUUGUUGGGAAAGAAAAGCAGCAGGUUAAUACCCCGCUGUUCUGACGGUACCCAAAGAAUAAGCACCGGCUAACUUCGUG
rnacentral:rRNA from 1 species